CGCCGUGCCGCCUCCGCUGCACGCUGCUUGAGCCGAAGCCCUCUGCUCCCUGCCUCCCGAGGAGCCCAACCGCAGCGCUAAUAGGAUUUUGGCUGGCACAGGUGUUGAUGAGCCGUGUGCUCCUCUCACACCAGCUUUCGUUGACAAGGCUACGCUGGUAAAACUUCCUAAUUUAAGCCAGAGCUGAGAAACAUCAUCAUUUUACCCUCCCGACUGUAGCGAAUGACAACUGGGAGCCUCCUGUCAGGAAGAAGCCUGAUGAUGUGUGUCAAACAGGAAGGAGGGCUAGAGCAUCAUAGUAGCCCAUCUGGCAUUACGAACCACAAUUUGGAAUUAUUCUUUUGUAAUGAACAAGAUUCUCUGGGAAGAAGCAGAAUGAAGAUUUGCCAUUGGAAUUAGAAGUUAUGUUGCUGGAAGACUGACAGUGAAAAGGUGAAGCAAAGCACUAUUUAUAGGCAGAGACGCUAUCUUUCAUUCAAUCCACUGAUACAGUUUGAUCAGCUUUCACUAGCUUGCCUGGAGUUUCUUCCAGCUAUAUGCAUUCACCUAAUAAAAUAUUUUAUUUCCUGACA
rnacentral:lncRNA from 1 species